rnacentral:ncRNA from 1 species
GUGCCGCAGUGGUGUUUUGUAGUUUCCCACCACGGAUUGCUGACCAAAGGAGAACGGCGACAGGAAGGCAAGCGGUAU